rnacentral:rRNA from 1 species
AUCGAACGCUGGCGGCAGGCUUAACACAUGCAAGCCGAACGAGCGGCGGACGGGUGAGUAAUGUCUGGGAAACUGCCUGAUGGAGGGGGAUAACUACUGGAAACGGUAGCUAAUACCGCAUACCAUCAGAUGUGCCCAGAUGGGAUUAGCUAGUGGGUGGGGAAAUGGCUCACCUAGGCGACGAUCCCUAGCUGGUCUGAGAGGAUGACCAGCCACACUGGAACGGGGACACGGUCCAGACUCCUACGGGAGGAAGCGGUGGGGAAUAUUGCACAAUGGGCGCAAGCCUGAUGCAGCCAUGCCGCGUGUGUGAAGAAGGCCUUCGGGUUGUAAAGCACGUUCAGCGAGGAGGCGUUACUCGCAGAAGAAGCACCGGCUAACUCCGUGCCAGCCGCCGCGGUAAUUG